GGAGAAAGUAAAUACCCGCUGAACUUAAGCAUAUCAAUAAGCGGAGGAAAAGAAACCAACAGGGAUUGCCUCAGUAACGGCGAGUGAAGCGGCAACAGCCCAGAUUUGAAAUCUGGCCUUCGGGCCCGAGUUGUAAUCUGCAGAUGAGUCUUCCGGCAAAGCGCCGUCCAAGUGCCCUGGAACGGGCCGCCGGAGAGGGUGAGAGCCCCGUACCGACGUGCGCCGCGCCUCUGUGAAGCUCAUUCGAAGAGUCGAGUAGUUUGGAAAUGCUGCUCUAAUUGUGGGGUAAAUCUCCCAUAAGGCUAAAUACCGGCCAGAGACCGAUAGCGCACAAGUAGCGUGAGCGAAAGAUGAAAAGAGCCUUGAACAAGGGCGUCAAAAAGCAUGUGAAAUUGUUGUGGGGGAAGCGUUCGAUGCCAGACAUGGCGGCGGUUGGUUACCCGGCGUUCUUCGCCGGCGCACUCUGCCGUCGCCAGGCCAGCAUCAGUUCGGAUCGAGGCCCACUGCCAGCGGGAACGUGGCUCUUUCGGGAGUGUUAUAGCCCGUUGGUAACGUCUCGGACCGGACUGAGGACCGCGCUUCGGCUCGGAUGCUGGCGUAAUGGCCUCUAGCGACCCGUCUUGAAACACGGACCAAGGAGUUGACCUAGCGUGCGAGUGUUUGGGUGUCAAGCCCUUACGCGCAGUGAAAGCGAAUGCAGGUGGGAGCUUCGGCGCACCAUCGACCGAUCCUGAAGUUUACGGAUGGAUUUGAGUAAGAGCACGUUGGGUCUGACCCGAAAGAAGGUGAACUAUGCAUGAAUAGGGUGAAGCCAGAGGAAACUCUGGUGGAGGCUCGCAGCGGUUCUGACGUGCAAAUCGAUCGUCAAAUUUGUGCAUGGGGGCGAAAGACCAAUCGAUCUACAAUUUGCGUG
rnacentral:rRNA from 1 species